AGAGUUUGAUCAUGGCUCAGAACGAACGCUGGCGGCAGGCCUAACACAUGCAAGUCGAGCGCACCUUCGGGUGAGCGGCGGACGGGUUAGUGACGCGUGGGAAUAUGCCCUUCUCUACGGAAUAGCCUCGGGAAACUGAGAGUAAUACCGUAUACGCCCUUCGGGGGAAAGAUUUAUCGGAGAAGGAUUAGCCCGCGUUAGAUUAGAUAGUUGGUGGGGUAAUGGCCUACCAAGUCUACGAUCUAUAGCUGGUUUUAGAGGAUGAUCAGCAACACUGGGACUGAGACACGGCCCAGACUCCUACGGGAGGCAGCAGUGGGGAAUCUUAGACAAUGGGCGAAAGCCUGAUCUAGCCAUGCCGCGUGUGUGAUGAAGGUCUUAGGAUCGUAAAGCACUUUCGCCAGGGAUGAUAAUGACAGUACCUGGUAAAGAAACCCCGGCUAACUCCGUGCCAGCAGCCGCGGUAAUACGGAGGGGGUUAGCGUUGUUCGGAAUUACUGGGCGUAAAGCGUACGUAGGCGGAUCAGAAAGUUAGGGGUGAAAUCCCGAGGCUCAACCUCGGAACUGCCUCUAAAACUCCUGGUCUUGAGUUCGAGAGAGGUGAGUGGAAUUCCAAGUGUAGAGGUGAAAUUCGUAGAUAUUUGGAGGAACACCAGUGGCGAAGGCGGCUCACUGGCUCGAUACUGACGCUGAGGUACGAAAGUGUGGGGAGCAAACAGGAUUAGAUACCCUGGUAGU
rnacentral:rRNA from 1 species